rnacentral:rRNA from 1 species
CCCUUAGAUGUUCUGGGCUGCACGCGCGCUACACUGACGUACGCAACGAGUGUCCUUUACCGAGAGGUAUGGGUAAUCAUUUGAGUGUACGUCGUGAUGGGGAUAGAAUAUUGUAAUUAUUACUCUUCAACGAGGAAUUCCUAGUAAGCGCAAGUCAGCAGCUUGCGCUGAUUACGUCCCUGCCCUUUGUACACACCGCCCGUCGCUCCUACCGAUUGGGUGUGCUGGUGAAAUGUUCGGAUCGGCCGUUUGUCGCGGUUUCCGCGUCAUGUGGCUGAGAAGUUCAUUAAACCCUCCCACCUAGAGGAAGGAGAAGUCGUAACA